UAUUUAACAAAUAUACAAAAGACCAGCAAAUAUAACAUAGUGUAUAACAAGUGUAGAUUUGGAUAUAAUACACACAAGUUGUACAAUAUAUCAUCUAUCAACAUAUAUCAUUGAAGACCAUAGUUAUAUUCUUGAACCUAAUUAUUUUUGUUACAUUCCACAGUGCGCCAAACCACUACCAUCUGGCCAUGCACGUCUUCGGUGCACUGACAACUGCAAGCACUCUGAUCGAAUUAGACGACAUGGUUCAAAGUGCUGCAGUUGUGUUCUCCAGUCCAUCCUCGGGUCCCAAUGUAGAUAAACAUUUCAAGAACCUGCAGUCAUGGCUGCUGAGAACAGCGACAUUGGAUGAGACAACCGAGUCCAAAAGUGAGAGCUUUGAGGACAUCGAUGGAGACAACCGAUUUGCAAAACGUUGCAAAGAUGUAAUUUCCAAAGCUCCACUGGACAGGUCUGGAGAGCCGAAUGUGUAUUUUUGCAGAGGCCUUAUCGAGCACCUCAGCAAAUACAUUCUACCAUAUUCUGGAUUGUGGACCGGCAUAAUGCUAGGGGACCUUGGACGACAUGGGACGGGACCACAAUAUGAGCAGUGCUCUCGAAAAUUCAACACGCUCAGAAAGCUUCCAAGACAAGUAAUUAUAAUAUAUUUUACAUGUCACGACUUUAUUACUCAUUACUUAAUGUGUUUAACAUUUACCUGUUUUUUUUAUACAUUUCUUAGAACAUAACAGAGGACAACAGAACCCAGGGCAUAAUGGAGAAGAGCCAGUGGGAUUUAAAACAUAUUAGAUUUCCCUCGGGCCGCCUGACUAGGCUUGAUGAUUUUGUGGCCCGGUACCAGACCACUCACACUGCUCUCCUGAAGGAAUAUGAAGAUUCCAAAAGAGUUUUUAGAAGAAAGGUUUGAAUAAUUUAAUUAUAGUUUCAUUAGAAGUGGUUUGGAUCAAAGUGUUUAAGUGAAAGUAAAUAUAAAGAAACUUAAAUUUUGUAUGUAAUCAAAUUAUUUGUAUUGGUAUCUAAAACAGUUCUCCAAAGUUAUUGAAAUUAUAAUUGAAUGCCUCCAUCAAAACUUUACUUUAUGCAGACAUUUAGAGUGGACCAGGAAAGAUGGAAAGAACGGCAGCAAAAAAAGAGGGGGAGAUAUGUCACACCACUCCGGAAGCCAUUUCCUUUCAAAAC